UACGAAGGGUGCAAGCGUUAAUCGGAAUUACUGGGCGUAAAGCGUGCGUAGGCGGUUCUUUAAGUCUGACGUGAAAUCUCCGGGCCUAACCCGGAAACUGCGUUGGAAACUAUCUGACUAGAGGAAUGGAGGGGAGACUGGAAUACUUGGUGUAGCAGUGAAAUGCGUAGAUAUCAAGUGGAACACCAGUGGCGAAGGCGAGUCUCUGGACAUUUCCUGACGCUGAGGCACGAAAGCCAGGGGAGCAAACGGG
rnacentral:rRNA from 1 species